GCCUAACACAUGCAAGUCGAACGGCAGCACAGGGGAGCUUGCUCCCUGGGUGGCGAGUGGCGGACGGGUGAGUAAUACAUCGGGACCUACCCAUGACGUGGGGGAUAACCUCGGGAAACCGGGACUAAUACCGCAUACGUCCUACGGGAGAAAGCGGGGGACCUUCGGGCCUCGCGCGUCUGGACGGACCGAUGUUCGAUUAGCUAGUUGGUGGGGUAAAGGCCUACCAAGGCUGCGAUCGAUAGCUGGUCUGAGAGGAUGAUCAGCCACAUUGGGACUGAGACACGGCCCAAACUCCUACGGGAGGCAGCAGUGGGGAAUAUUGGACAAUGGGCGCAAGCCUGAUCCAGCAAUGCCGCGUGUGUGAAGAAGGCCUUCGGGUUGUAAAGCACUUUUAUCAGGAGCGAAAUCGGCAUGGUUAAUAACCGUGUCGUCUGACGGUACCUGAGGAAUAAGCACCGGCUAACUUCGUGCCAGCAGCCGCGGUAAUACGAAGGGUGCAAGCGUUAAUCGGAAUUACUGGGCGUAAAGGGUGCGUAGGCGGUUAGUUAAGUCUGUUGUGAAAUCCCCGGGCUCAACCUGGGAAUGGCAAUGGAUACUGGCUGGCUAGAGUGUGUCAGAGGAUGGUGGAACUCCCGGUGUAGCGUGAAAUGCGUAGAGAUCGGGAGGAACAUCAGUGGCGAAGGGGCCAUCUGGGACACACUGACGCUGAAGCACGAAAGCGUGGGGAGCAAACAGGAUAGAUACCCUGGUAGUCCACGCCUAAACGAUGCGAACUGGACGUUGGUNUCAACUCGGAGAUCAGUGUCGAAGCUAACGCGUUAAGUUCGCCGCCUGGGGAGUACGGUCGCAAGACUGAAACUCAAAGGAAUUGACGGGGGCCCGCACAAGCGGUGGAGUAUGUGGUUUAAUUCGAUGCAACGCGAAGAACCUUACCUGGCCUUGACAUGUCGCGAAUCCUGCAGAGAUGCGGAAGUGCCUUCGGGAAUGCGAACACAGGUGCUGCAUGGCUGUCGUCAGCUCGUGUCGUGAGAUGUUGGGUUAAG
rnacentral:rRNA from 1 species